rnacentral:rRNA from 1 species
GAUGAACGCUAGCGGGAGGCCUAACACAUGCAAGCCGAGCGGUAGAGUUUCUUCGGAAACUUGAGAGCGGCGCACGGGUGCGUAACACGUGUGCAACCUACCUUUAUCUGGGGGAUAGCCUUUCGAAAGGAAGAUUAGUACCCCAUAAUAUAAUGAUUGGCAUCAAUUAUUAUUGAAAACUCCGGUGGAUAGAGAUGGGCACGCGCAAGAUUAGAUAGUUGGUGAGGUAACGGCUCACCAAGUCAAUGAUCUUUAGGGGUCCUGAGAGGGAGAUCCCCCACACUGGUACUGAGACACGGACCAGACUCCUACGGGAGGCAGCAGUGAGGAAUAUUGGACAAUGGGUGAGAGCCUGAUCCAGCCAUCCCGCGUGAAGGAUGACGGUCCUAUGGAUUGUAAACUUCUUUUGUACAGGGAUAAACCUACCCUCGUGAGGGUAGCUGAAGGUACUGUACGAAUAAGCACCGGCUAACUCCGUG